GUCUGAAGAGCAGGGUGAAGAUUGCUGUAGUGAAGGAAGAGAGAAGUAGAUAGUAGGCUGCUACAGGAAAAGUGAUAUGGAAUUUGAUUUUUGUCCUUCUUUUAGCCCCAAGUCUUGACUCAAUGUUCUAGUUACUGAAGACCUUAGGCUCAAGUUGGUUUUCUUGAAUGCAGAUCCAUAUGUAAUUAAAAUUUCCUCAUUUAUUACAGUGUGCUGAAGGAGAGGGCUGGCUUGCAUAUAUCACUGAGACCUAGCUGGAUGAAGAUCAAGGGGUUGUUCUGUCUGUAAUCUGCCAAGAAAUGGUUUGCGGGAAGGAGGAGUGGCAAUCAUAUUCUGUUAGAAUUUGGUGGUGACCAAAAUUGUUGUCUGCUGAUGACAGAAUGAGAGUUCCUAUAUGUGAAGUUGAGAUCUAGAAUCAAGCUGGAUUUUUUGGUGUUUUUGUCAAGAACAAAGAUGAAACACCCAUGAAACACCAAGAAAGUUUCUAUACAAACAGAACAGAAGUACUGCAAAACCCCAACUUUUGCAGUUGGUCUAAAAGGAUUCCAUUAUUAUGGUCAAAAUACACCCAAGAAAUCUAGGAAAACCAGGGGAAGAACAUACCCACACCCAUAUCCUGCUGCAGGUUGUCUGCAACAAUAGUUAAGAUGAGAACAGUUAUUAAAGAGUUGGAAAGAAUCCAGAAGCCAUGCACUGCAUGCUUUAUCUACCUUAUUUUUUAUGAGUACCUGUGGGAUCCAUGUGGAGUCAAAAUAUCCAAAUGUGGUGAUGGAAACCAAUACUUUGUUUUGCAGGAAAGUAUACAUUUUUUUCUUCAAAACUCAGGUGUAAAGAUUUUGGUGGGCAUCAAGGAACAUAAUUGUGUAUUCACUGACACUGAUUCAAGUGAGGAAAGAGUACAAACAGAAACUAAAACGUAUCAGGUUCAUGAACAGCGGUAUCACAUGCCAGCCUUCCCAAUUUAGUGUUCUCCAUAUUUUGGAGUACUAUAAUUCCCAGAAUUUCUACCAAUCCCAUAUACAUAUGGUUUCAAUAUAUCAGGGGUGACGGGAAGAGAAGUAAUUCAACUGGAAAAAAUUGUGUGAUUUUUAACAACAGGUUCACAUGUGUCCUUAAUCACAAAGAUUAAUAAACAUUCUAUUUAUGAUUUUCUUUACCUAGAAAUUAAUCACAAUCUGACUACUGAACAGUGUUUUAUAAACUAAAGGCUUAAACUAAGAGAAAAAUAGCAGAAGUUUCCUUGAAAAAAAGGUGGAGUUAAUGUGCUUUGCCCAAUUUGCUAAAUCAGGUUGUUCUGCCCUAUUUGCUUAGAAUAGAUAUAUACUGAUGCAAGUCAUUACUUGAGCCAUCUGAAGCAGAAAUAUCCCCCAACAUUAUCAUAGCACAUCAUAAAGAUAUGACCUUCUCUCUUGUUCUUCAUUUCAAUCAUUAUUAGCUUUGGCAUAUUUUUUUUUUCAUAAUAGCAACUUGGCUUCCACUAAAAAGUAAAGGAGUCCCUGUCCAGUCAUGUCUGACACUAGGUUGCGGUGCUCAUGUCUGUUUCUGGGCUGAGGGAGCCAGUGUUGUCUGAAGACAUUUUUGUGGUCAUGUGGCUAUUUGUCAAAGCUCUCCAAGUUCAAGAUAAAUCGAGAUAAGCAGCCAAAGAAGAUAGAAAGGAGUCGGCACUUAAAAGUGAUGUUCUCCAGAAGGCACAAAAUAUGUAAAGUUUUAAAUGUAAAAUAUUCAACCAUAUAUACCUUCAGUUCAUUGCUCAAUCUUUACUUCCCUGUUUCUUCUUCCCUAAUGCCUAAAGGGUAAUAAAAUUGAUGAAACUA